CGCCCUCGACCUAUUCUCAAACUUUAAAU
rnacentral:snRNA from 1 species